rnacentral:rRNA from 1 species
UUUCCUACGGGAGGCAGCAGUAGGGAAUAUUGCUCAAUGGGGGAAACCCUGAUGCAGCAACGCCGCGUGAGUGAAGAAGUAUUUCGGUAUGUAAAGCUCUAUCAGCAGGGAAGAAAAUGACGGUACCUGAGUAAGAAGCCCCGGCUAACUACGUGCCAGCAGCCGCGGUAAUACGUAGGGGGCAAGCGUUAUCCGGAUUUACUGGGUGUAAAGGGAGCGUAGACGGCAGUGCAAGUCUGGUGUGAAAGGCGGGGGCUCAACCCCCGGACUGCCCUGGAAACUGUAUGGCUGGAGUGCCGGAGAGG